UCCGUAGGUGGCAAGCGUUGUCCGGAUUUAUUGGGGUUAAAGGGUGCGUAGGUGGCCCUGUAAGUCAGUGGUGAAAUAUCUCAGCUUAACUGAGAGGGUGCCAUUGAUACUGCAGGGCUUGAGUACAGAUGAGGUAGGCGGAAUUGACGGUGUAGCGGUGAAAUGCAUAGAUAUCGUCAAGAACACCGAUAGCGAAGGCAGCUUACCAAGCUGUAACUGACACUGAGGCACGAAAGUGUGGGGAUCAAACAGG
rnacentral:rRNA from 1 species